rnacentral:RNase_P_RNA from 1 species
GGAGUGGGCCAGACGACCGCUGAUUUUUGGAUCACACCAACGAUUGGAGGAAAGUCCGGGCUCCACAGGGCAGGACGCCGGGUAAUCCCCGGCGGGGGCAACCCCAGGGAAAGCGCCACAGAAAGCAAACCGCCAAGCCUCUGACCAGGGAGACACGCCUGACCAGAGCGCGGCAAGGGUGAAAGGGUGCGGCAAGAGCGCACCGCGUCUCCUGGUAACAGGAACGGCACGGCAAGCCCCGUCCGGAGCAAGACCACAUAGGGGGACGUUUAAAGACGGCCCGUCCAGUCCCCGGGUAGGUCGCUAGAGACGGUCGGCAACGCCCGUCCCAGAUGAAUGGUCGUCACCCCUGCCCGUCCACCGGGACAGACAGACAGGGGGACAAAACCCGGCUUAUCAGCCCACUCCGAGU